UACGUAGGGGGCAAGCGUUGUUCGGAAUUACUGGGCGUAAAGGGCGCGUAGGCGGCACGGUAAGUCGGGAGUGAAAGCCCGGGGCUCAACCCCGGAACGUCUUUCGAAACUGCCGAGCUAGAGUGCGGAAGAGGCAACUGGAAUUCCCAGUGUAGCGGUGAAAUGCGUAGAUAUUGGGAAGAACACCUGAGGCGAAGGCGGGUUGCUGGGCCGACACUGACGCUGAUGCGCGAAAGCCAGGGGAGCGAAUGGG
rnacentral:rRNA from 1 species